rnacentral:rRNA from 1 species
AGGCUUUGAUCCUGGCUCAGGACGAACGCUGGCGGCAUGCCUAAUACAUGCAAGUCGAACGCCGACGCACUCUGCUUGCAGAGUGUUGAGGAGUGGCGAACGGGUGAGUAACACGUGGAGAACCUGCCCAUAAGAGGGGGAUAACAUCCGGAAACGGGUGCUAAUACCGCAUAGGUGGCUGGAGCGCAUGCUCUAGUCAUGAAAGACGGCUUCGGCUGUCGCUUAUGGAUGGCUCCGCGGCGUAUUAGCUAGUUGGUGAGGUAAUGGCUCACCAAGGCAGUGAUACGUAGCCGACCUGAGAGGGUGAUCGGCCACACUGGGACUGAGACACGGCCCAGACUCCUACGGGAGGCAGCAGUAGGGAAUCUUCCACAAUGGGCGAAAGCCUGAUGGAGCAAUGCCGCGUGAGUGAAGAAGGUUUUCGGAUCGUAAAGCUCUGUUGUUAGAGAAGAACAAGAGGUGUAGUAACUGGCACCUCCUUGACGGUAUCUAACCAGAAAGUCACGGCUA